ensembl:lncRNA
AGCACUGAGCUAGGCUGAAACACCUAGAUUUUGGAGCUGCCUUAUGCAAGAAAGCAAAAAAAGAGACCAUUGUUGUAUGCGGCUUUAUUAACUCAAUUAAUAUUAUUUUUACAUUGUUUACAAACUGAAAUGUGACAUGUAUUAAUGCCAUCAUCAUACUUGUUUUUUUGUUAACAGGUGGGGCGAAAAACAGAGCCCCACAAACCUGGAUGAUGGGUCGCCACUGUGUGUGUGUGUGUGUGUGUGUGUGUGUGUGUGUGUGUGCGUGCGUGUGUGUGUGUGUGUGUGUGUGCGUGUGUGUGUGCAUUGAGUGACUGUGGUAGUUUGAAACCUGACUGGCUGGUUGGGUAGCCUCUGAAAGAGAGAGAUUAAUCCUGAUCAACUACCUGGCCAAAGGUCAAGUUGAUACAAAUAAAAUCCCAUAGGUUCAUUGUCAGUGUAAGACACGCAAUUUGAAGAUUCCAUUGAUAAUUUGAUAAUAAAAAGUGUAAUUGGUGUUAGUCAAUUUAAAUGAAGGUAAAUUACAUUGUGUGCAAAAUGAUUAAUCAUAUCAAUAGUAAAUGAAGGUUUGAAGGGUUUUAAUAACCUUAUAUUUUAUCAUCAGGUCUCCAUUUAAGAAAAUCCUCUGUUAUUGAUGUUACCGUCAUUGGUGUUACUACUCCUACCAGUAGCACAAUGUUAUUAUAAUGGUACACAUGACUUAAAGUCAUUAAGCUGCCAUAUUAGUUGAUUUAGAAUCGGAAGAUGUAUCCAAAUACAUUUAAAUCAAAUAAAAAAUAUAAAAAAUUCUUCAAAUGCCAUGCCCAAAUGCUACCACAGAGAAGAAGAAAGAAACGCCUUCUGCUCUGUAUGAAAGCGAAGAGAGACAUUGUUUCUUAACAAUCUGAGACUAGAAUAUUGCCUAUACAGGGUCUGUGUGUGUGUGUGUGUGUGUGUGUGUGUGUGUGUGUGUGUGUGUGUGUGUGUGUGUGUGUGUGUGUGUGUGUGCGUGUGCGUGUGUGUGUGUGUGUCUCAGACUGCUGAGUCACUGUGGGAGUUUGAAACCUGAAUGGCAAUGUACACUGUGUGGACAUACAAUCAACACUGUAGUCCACCCUCUGUACAGACAGACUAUCAACACUGCUGCCUACACCACGUACAGCCUAGAUAAAUAGAUUAUGAACACAAUCCUAGUCUGUUAUUAUCAUUAUAAUGAUGAGAUAGCAGGCUGAGCAGUGACCAGUAGGUGUUCUGUGUUAGGUGGGUUACAGCUAGAUUAAAAGCAAUUUAAUGGUAAUUUACCAACGUUUCGGCAUCACUUUGCCUUCCACAGGGUAAUGUCAUGAAUACUUGAACCAGGUUAUGUAGACAAACAGUGCAAUUAGUCCAACCAAUGACAAUAAUCAUAAUGAUUAAGUUAAUUAAGAUGAAUUAGUGAAACUGUUCAAAAUGGUAUAUGGCAUAUUAAAUAUACUAUGCUAUUGUUAUCAUAUAGAAACAUAAAGGAAAAUGUGUUCAGAAGGGCCUGAUAUCAAAGUCAAUAUUCAAACCACUAGGGGUCAAUGUGUUUAGAUAGGAUAUCCAGUAAGCCUCCUGUUGUAGUAGUAGGAUCCCAAUGUUACCUCCUCUCCUUGGUAGAGAACAUGCUCAAUGCCUGUGUAUUUGAGGGAGGAGAUUGAAUGGUUAGCUUCAACAAAGUGAGCUGCUAUUGGAUAGUCAGUGUUCUUACACCUGAUUGAGCUGCUCAGCUAUGCUUUGUUUUAAUUGUCUUUUCGUUUGUCCUACGUAGGCUUUUCCACAUGAACAGGUGAUGAGAUAGAUUACUCCCUUUGUCUUGCAUGAGAUGAUACCUCUAACAGGGAUCUUUCCACCUGUAUUUGGGUGUCUGAAGGAUGUUUUUAUAGUGCUAUUGCACUAUGUGCAUGAGCCACAUUUGUAGUUCCCAUUUGGGAUAGGUGUCAAGAGUGUCUGAGUGGGCUCAGGGGGCAUGUCAGAUCUCACCUAACUAUCUCCAAUAUUGAGACCACACUUAUAGACCACCAGUGGGGAUACCUUGAAGAGGUGUGCAAUUUUCUGGUCUGAUUGCAGAAUAUGCCAGUGAUUUUUCAGAGUUGCUUUCAUUUGGGGCAGCAGGGUAGCCUAGUGGUUAGAGUGUUGGACUGGUAACCGAAAGGUUGCAAGAUUGAAUUCCUGAGCUGACAAGGUCACAAUCUGUUGUUCUGCCCCUGAACAAGGCAGUUAACUCACUGUUCCUAGGCUGUCAUUGAAAAUAAGAAUUCGUUCUUCACUGACUUGCCUAGUUAAAUAAAAAUAAAAUAAAUAAAAAAUAAUUUCUCCGAACCCUUGGUGUACUUAGUGCAAAAGACAGUUGCGUUGUUUUUCUUCUUUGGUUGAGUUUUUAGUAAUUCCUCUCUUGGUUUUAUUUUCAUCAUUGCAGCAUUAAGAGUUUUGUACUUGUAGCCUCUCAUUUUAAAUGUAUCUGUCAUUUUUAUUAGCAUUGCUGUCAAAAUCUAACCCUGCAUAACUGGCUAAAUGGUAGACCAUUCUUGAGGGGAAGGGGAUGCAUACUAUCCGAUUAGUUUAACCCUGCAUAACUGGCUAAAUGGUAGACCAUUCUUGAGGGGAAGGGGAUGCAUACUAUCCGAUUAGUUUAACCCUGCAUAACUGGCUAAAUGGUAGACCAUUCUUGAGGGAAGGGGAUGCAUACUAUCCGAUUAGUUUAACCCUGCAUAACUGGCUAAAUGGUAGACCAUUCUUGAGGGGAAGGGGAUGCAUACUAUCCGAUUAGUUUAACCCUGCAUAAAUGGCUAAAUGGUAGACCAUUCUUGAGGGGAAGGGGAUGCAUACUAUCCGAUUAGUUUAACCCUGCAUAACUGGCUAAAUGGUAGACCAUUCUUGAGGGGAAGGGGAUGCAUACUAUCCGAUUAGUUUAACCCUGCAUAACUGGCUAAAUGGUAGACCAUUCUUGAGGGGAAGGGGAUGCAUACUAUCCGAUUAGUUUAACCCUGCAUAACUGGCUAAAUGGUAGACCAUUCUGGAGGGGAAGGGGAUGCGCACAUAGCAAGGUAUUGUGAUCUGUGGGCUUUCUGUAUAAAUCUGUGUGUAAUGCAUCCUUCUCUUUGAUAAUCCAUAAAUCCAGGUAGGAUUUAUUGAUUACUAUCUAACUCCUAGUGGUCUGAAUAUUGAUUUUGAUCUCAGGGCCUUCUUAUGAACACAUUUUCCUUUAUGAGCACAUCUUAUAAAUGUAUAUUCUUUCUACAGCAUAUUAGCUUAUAACCUGGUUCAAGUUUUCAUGACAUUACCCUGAGGAAGGCACAGUGAUGCGGAAACGUUGGUAAAUGACCAUUAAAUUGCUAGGAGUUUAUACAUGGAGUGUGCCACUUUCUUUAUUUUGAAAGGUUACAGCUAGAGAAAUGAAUGUUGGUAGAUAGUUUUUUCUCUCUCCAGAUAUAAAAAGGUUAACAGGGCUACACACAACUGGGGAACAGGUGAACAUACAGGUGACUGGGGAACAGGUGAACCUACAAGGGACUGGGGAACAGGUGAACGUACAGGUGACUGGGGAACAGGUGAACAUACAGGUGACUGGGGAACAGGUGAACGUACAAGGGACUGGGGAACAGGUGAACGUACAGGUGACUGGGGAACAGGUGAAC